UACGGGGGGGGCAAGCGUUGUUCGGAAUUACUGGGCGUAAAGGGUUCGUAGGUGGCCAACUAAGUCAGACGUGAAAUCCCUCGGCUUAACCGGGGAACUGCGUCUGAUACUGGAUGGCUUGAGUUUGGGAGAGGGACGCGGAAUUCCAGGUGUAGCGGUGAAAUGCGUAGAUAUCUGGAGGAACACCGGUGGCGAAGGCGGCGUCCUGGACCAACACUGACACUGAGGAGCGAAAGCCAGGGGAGCAAACGGG
rnacentral:rRNA from 1 species